rnacentral:rRNA from 1 species
CAGGUUUACCUGUGUGACUGCGUACCUUUUGUAUAAUGGGUCAGCGACUUAUAUUCUGUAGCAAGGUUAACCGAAUAGGGGAGCCGGAGGGAAACCGAGUCUUAAUUGGGCGUUAAGUUGCAGGGUAUAGACCCGAAACCCGGUGAUCUAGCCAUGGGCAGGUUGAAGGUUGGGUAACACUAACUGGAGGACCGAACCGACUAAUGUUGAAAAAUUAGCGGAUGACCUGUGGCUGGGGGUGAAAGGCCAAUCAAACCGGGAGAUAGCUGGUUCUCCCCGAAAGCUAUUUAGGUAGCGCCUCGUGAAUUCAUCUCCGGGGGUAGAGCACUGUUUCGGCUAGGGGGCCAUCCCGGCUUACCAACCCGAUGCAAACUGCGAAUACCGGAGAAUGUUAUCACGGGAGACACACGGCGGGUGCUAACGUCCGUCGUGAAGAGGGAAACAACCCAGACCGCCAGCUAAGGUCCCAAAGUCAUGGUUAAGUGGGAAACGAUGUGGGAAGGCCCAGACAGCCAGGAUGUUGGCUUAGAAGCAGCCAUCAUUUAAAGAAAGCGUAAUAGCUCACUGGUCGAGUCGGCCUGCGCGGAAGAUGUAACGGGGCUAAACCAUGCACCGAAGCUGCGGCAGCGACACUGUGUGUUGUUGGGUAGGGGAGCGUUCUGUAAGCCUGUGAAGGUGUGUCGUGAGGCAUGCUGGAGGUAUCAGAAGUGCGAAUGCUGACAUAAGUAACGAUAAAGCGGGUGAAAAGCCCGCUCGCCGGAAGACCAAGGGUUCCUGUCCAACGUUAAUCGGGGCAGGGUGAGUCGACCCCUAAGGCGAGGCCGAAAGGCGUAGUCGAUGGGAAACGGGUUAAUAUUCCCGUACUUGGUGUUACUGCGAAGGGGGGACGGAGAAGGCUAUGUUGGCCGGGCGACGGUUGUCCCGGUUUAAGCGUGUAGGCUGGUUUUCCAGGCAAAUCCGGAAAAUCAAGGCUGAGGCGUGAUGACGAGGCACUACGGUGCUGAAGCAACAAAUGCCCUGCUUCCAGGAAAAGCCUCUAAGCAUCAGGUAACAUCAAAUCGUACCCCAAACCGACACAGGUGGUCAGGUAGAGAAUACCAAGGCGCUUGAGAGAACUCGGGUGAAGGAACUAGGCAAAAUGGUGCCGUAACUUCGGGAGAAGGCACGCUGACACGUAGGUGAAGUGAUUUACUCAUGGAGCUGAAGUCAGUCGAAGAUACCAGCUGGCUGCAACUGUUUAUUAAAAACACAGCACUGUGCAAACACGAAAGUGGACGUAUACGGUGUGACGCCUGCCCGGUGCCGGAAGGUUAAUUGAUGGGGUCAGCGCAAGCGAAGCUCCUGAUCGAAGCCCCGGUAAACGGCGGCCGUAACUAUAACGGUCCUAAGGUAGCGAAAUUCCUUGUCGGGUAAGUUCCGACCUGCACGAAUGGCGUAAUGAUGGCCAGGCUGUCUCCACCCGAGACUCAGUGAAAUUGAACUCGCUGUGAAGAUGCAGUGUACCCGCGGCAAGACGGAAAGACCCCGUGAACCUUUACUAUAGCUUGACACUGAACAUUGAGCCUUGAUGUGUAGGAUAGGUGGGAGGCUUUGAAGUGUGGACGCCAGUCUGCAUGGAGCCGACCUUGAAAUACCACCCUUUAAUGUUUGAUGUUCUAACGUGGACCCGUUACCCGGGUUGCGGACAGUGUCUGGUGGGUAGUUUGACUGGGGCGGUCUCCUCCUAAAGAGUAACGGAGGAGCACGAAGGUUGGCUAAUCCUGGUCGGACAUCAGGAGGUUAGUGCAAUGGCAUAAGCCAGCUUGACUGCGAGCGUGACGGCGCGAGCAGGUGCGAAAGCAGGUCAUAGUGAUCCGGUGGUUCUGAAUGGAAGGGCCAUCGCUCAACGGAUAAAAGGUACUCCGGGGAUAACAGGCUGAUACCGCCCAAGAGUUCAUAUCGACGGCGGUGUUUGGCACCUCGAUGUCGGCUCAUCACAUCCUGGGGCUGAAGUAGGUCCCAAGGGUAUGGCUGUUCGCCAUUUAAAGUGGUACGCGAGCUGGGUUUAGAACGUCGUGAGACAGUUCGGUCCCUAUCUGCCGUGGGCGCUGGAGAACUGAGGGGGGCUGCUCCUAGUACGAGAGGACCGGAGUGGACGCAUCACUGGUGUUCGGGUUGUCAUGCCAAUGGCACUGCCCGGUAGCUAAAUGCGGAAGAGAUAAGUGCUGAAAGCAUCUAAGCACGAAACUUGCCCCGAGAUGAGUUCUCCCUGAGACUUAGAGUCUCCUGAAGGAACGUUGAAGACGACGACGUUGAUAGGCCGGGUGUGUAAGCGCAGCGAUGCGUUGAGCUAACCGGUACUAAUGAACCGUGAGGCUUAACCUU